rnacentral:lncRNA from 1 species
GCGGAAGAUCAAAUUCACCGUGAAAGAACACACCCUUGCCUGCAACUCUUCUUGUGCUGAUCAGGCAACAACCUGAAGAAAACGUGGGCAAAAGAAUUGCUAAGACUGGGCAAAUUUCCCGAAGUGAACUACAGCAAAGGUAACAAGGUUGUUCCAAUUUUUUGACCAUGAGAUCCUUUUUAGUUCUACUAGAACUAGUAGUACUCCCCAGAUGUUCCUCCUGUACUCCAGUAUUGCAGCUUUGCCUCCUAUACAUUAGUGUUGCAAGCCUGAUUUGAAUUAUGGCCCCAAAUCUAUCCCUUCUUCUUGCCUCCUGUACAACCAUGGUGCUAGACAAAAGUUGCUGGCUCUUGAAUUGUUUCUUGCCUGUAGUUAUGCAUAUUGCUUCUGCAAAAAAUAAACAAAGACAGACUAAUUAAUUGCAGAAUCUUGCCUGUUUUAUUGUAGAAAAAAUUGUUAAGAAUCGGGGUAUGAUAAAGAUAAAAGUGGAUAACAAACUAUUGUAGUUUCUUACAAAAGGUCCAGUAUCUUACGAAACAGGGCAAAAACUGGGCAAAAAAUAAUCAGUAGGGGGAGAAGUAUAGUUGCUUACAAAAGCACAAAAGAAAAAGGCAAAAGAAAAAGGCUGGUAUGUGAACCUAGCAAUGAUUCGGUAAAAAAAUGCUCCCUGCUCAUUUAGUAUAUGUAUUAAUUCCUUCCCCUAUUUUGUCUUCUGAAAUGUGCAGAUGGCCGGCUUUGAUCUCAAUGAGCUUCCUGAUGACUUUGUUGACUGUGAUGGUGGUCCCCUGUUCUGCACACAAGCCCAACCUGAAAAAGUCCCCAUUUCAAUCAAGGGGGUGGGCGAGUUGCCGGAUUUGUGUUCUGCUCCUGUCCAAGAUGUCGUAGGUGUGGGGUUUCGUGUUGUGGCUACUGGUGUGUCUGAUGCGACGGCAACUACUGAAACUAUCGCACCCGCACCUGCCAUGUUCAGCCCGGCUGCAACUCUGCCUAGCAAUGGUGGGCAAGGUCAUGCAAGUAGCGCUGGCUUGUUAGGUUUUGAUGAGAACGAGGUGUGAUCUAGCCCACAGGAACCUUAUGCCG